rnacentral:rRNA from 1 species
AUGAUAAUCAAACUUGACUUCAAGAAAGCCUUCGACUCCAUCUCCUGGACAUCUCUGGACAAAAUAUUAGCAAUCAGAGGCUUCCCUGAUAAAUUCAGGUUUUGGAUACAAAAUAUCCUCACCACUGGAAAAACGGCGAUACUUCUAAAUGGCCUUCCAGGCAGCUGGAUCACCUGCAAAAAUGGCCUCCGUCAAGGCGGCCCUAUAUCCCCCUAUCUCUUCAUAAUUGUCGCAGACCUCCUACAACAACUAAUCUUGCAGAACAAAGAACCCACAUCCCUUCACCAUCCAAUUUUCUCUCAUCUCCCACCAACAGUCCUUCAAUAUGCAGAUGACACACUAAUCGUUGCCACCGCCUCCACUCCGGCCGCCUCCGCGAUCAAAAAAAUCCUAGACAAUUUUGCACUUGCCACCGGUCUCUCUAUCAAUUUCUCCAAAACGACCCUUGCAACACUUCACACCGACCAGCACACCUCAAAUGCCAUUGCAUCCAUCCUCGACUGCUCCACCGCCUCUUUCCCCCAAACUUACCUCGGGCUGCCUCUCUCCCCACCCGACCAUCAGCAAACGCCUUCCUCCCUGUCCUUGAAAGAUGCAAAAAAAUCCUAUCAGGCUGGCUGGAAAAAGUCCUAUCAAAAGGAGACAGGCUCAUACUCAUCUCCUCAGUCCUCGACUCUAUCCUAA